rnacentral:rRNA from 1 species
UACGGGGGGAGCAAGCGUUGUUCGGAUUUACUGGGCGUAAAGGGCGCGUAGGCGGCCACCGCAAGUCGGUUGUGAAAUCUCUGGGCUUAACCCAGAAAGGUCAACCGAUACUGCGGGGCUAGAGUGCAGAAGGGGCAACUGGAAUUCUCGGUGUAGCGGUGAAAUGCGUAGAUAUCGAGAGGAACACCUGCGGCGAAGGCGGGUUGCUGGGCCGACACUGACGCUGAGGCGCGAAAGCCAGGGGAGCGAACGGGAUUAGAACCGUACCG